AUGCAUACAGCGAUAAAGUCCUGCAGAAGCAGCUCACAAAGCCCUGCACCGGCAGGGGUCAGGGGAGAGGGGCUGCUGGGUCACUCUGGCCCUUGCCCUUCCUCCCCUCUCCCCAUCCCCUGUGCUGCAUCUCCCCUGUUCAUGACGCUGAAACUCUUUGUUUUGCCUCUCCUCGGUCCCUGGCAGCGGUGGGCUGUGCCGUGGGGCCCUGGGGGCCGUGGAGCGGGUGCAGCUCCCCGUGCGGAGCUGGCAGCAGGGCCCGCAGCCGCCAGGUCACGGUGCCGCCCCGGCACGGCGGCGAUCCCUGUCCGGACCUCAAGCAGCGCCGCGGCUGCCUGGGGCAGCACCCGACCUGCGGCACGGCCCAAGGUAACGGGGUGCCUGCUGCCCUCCUGCUGCUGUCCCCGAGUGCUGCCGCCCCGGGGCGUCUUUAAUCAUCCCCCUGCCCCUCACAGCUGCUCUUGUGCCAGAGGUAGCCAAGAUUCUCCCCAACUCCUUCAGCCAGGACUUCAGAGAUCCCUGGCGAAGAGCUGGGAUGCCACCGCCAGAGGAGCCCUCUGGCUCCUGCGGCUAUUUCCGCCUGACCCAGGUGGGGCUCCCGUGCCGCGGGCGCGCCUGGAGCCGCCGGCUGCAGCGGGACAGGCAGGUCUGUGUGGAAUGCCGGGGGAAUCUGCCCCACCGCCGUCCCCAGUGCACCGGACACGGCCUGCAGGGAGCCAGGUAGGUGCUAAUCUGUGCCAUCCCCACCGUGGGAUCUCUCCUGGAACACCUCUCCCUCUCUAAGGCAUUAUCCCUUUAUAUUCUAAUUACAAUAUUUGUAUACAAAGCUAUAAUUAUGUUAAAAUAUGCUACAAUGUUAUAGUACACCAUCAUGUUAUAAAUGAAUCAAUAAUAUGUCCUAUAAACAGAUUAUAAUAUAAAAUUAAACAUAUAUAAAUAGAAUAGAAUAUCUGUUGGAAGGGACAGACAAUUAUCAUCUAGUCCGACUGCCAUUAUUAUAUAUGUAAUAUAAACCCAUAUAUAAAACUAUAUUUGAUUUUUUAAAAUUGUAUUUAUUAAUGGCACACCCCAGUUCUCACUGAUUUUCCCUUCCAGGACAUUUUGGGUGGCCGCUUCUGUGGUGGGGUGCCAGGGCUCAUGGGUGCAGGAGGGCCUGCAGGAGGGCUGUGUCUGCUCCCCCCCGGCUCUCAUCUUUGUGUAGGGAAG
rnacentral:lncRNA from 1 species